rnacentral:rRNA from 1 species
GUGGAUUAGUGGCGAACGGGUGAGUAACACGUGAGUAACCUGCCCUUGACUCUGGGAUAAGCGUUGGAAACGACGUCUAAUACCGGAUACGAGCUUCAGCCGCAUGGCUAGGAGUUGGAAAGAAUUUCGGUCAAGGAUGGACUCGCGGCCUAUCAGCUAGUUGGUGAGGUAAUGGCUCACCAAGGCGACGACGGGUAGCCGGCCUGAGAGGGUGACCGGCCACACUGGGACUGAGACACGGCCCAGACUCC